rnacentral:misc_RNA from 1 species
AAGCAGCUUGCAAAAUCCACAAUGUUGCAAUUUGAAAAUAAAUAAUGAAAUGAUCACGUAGACGACUUAGUCCAGCGCUUCAAUGAGGAUGCUGCCACUCCUAGCAUGUUGAUGCCUUUUUGAGGUUCAUUAGGAGAAAAUCUGGGAGGAAACACUCGAGGAAUGGUGGUGGGCUUUAGAAACUUCAGAGACAGAGUUUGAGAUGUGGAGGCGAGACUGUGGAACAAUACAAAGAGAGUGAUGGGUAGAAAAGGAAAUGCAUGGGUUUAGCUUAGGGCUGUGAGAGUAAGGAAUUGAGUAUGUG